GCCAGGCACAUGGCUCACGCCUGUAAUCCCAGCACUUUGGGAGCCUGAGGCAGGCGGAUCACCUGAGAUCGGGAGUUUGAGACCAGCCUGACCAACAUGAAGAAACCCCCUCUCUACUAAAAAUACAAAAUUAGCCGGGCAUGGUGUCAUAUGCCUGUAAUCCCAGCUACUUUGGAGGCUGAGGCAGGAGAUUUGCUUGAACCUGGGAGGCGGAGGUUGUGGGGGAGGAUUUUUUUUAAAGUUCCUCAGAUAAUUCAAAUGUGCAGCCCAGUUGGAAGACCCCUGCUCUAAGUUGAAAAGUUUGUCUUCUUCCUGUGAACAUUUCCAGAGUAUUUACUGUUUAUCAAAAUUUGUAUGGCUAGCAGCUGGGCACAGCAGCUCACACCUGCAAUCUCAGCAUGUUGGGAUCACAGGCAUGAGCCAUCAUGCCCAACCAUUGAAUGCUUU
rnacentral:lncRNA from 1 species